rnacentral:rRNA from 1 species
GAGGGUUUGAUCCUAGCUCAGGGUUAACGCUGGCAGCGUGCCUAACACAUGCAAGUCGAGCGACGAACCCGCCAAGGUUGGAGCAAUCUGGCUGCGGCGGGGGAAAGCGGCGAACGGGUGAGUAACACUUGAGUAACCUACCCUCUGGACCGGGAUAACCCGCCGAAAGGCGGGCUAAUACCGGGUACGUUCUCUUCGCGGUAACGCGGAGAGAGGAGAGGUCUGCCGUAAGGCGGACCGCCGGAGGAUGGGCUUGAGUCCUAUCAGCUUGUUGGCGGGGUAACGGCCCACCAAGGCGAUGACGGGUAGCUGGUCUGAGAGGACGGCCAGCCACAAGGGAAUUGCGACACGGUCCCUACUCCUACGGGAGGCAGCAGUGAGGAAUCUUGGACAAUGCCCGAAAGGGUGAUCCAGCGACGCUGCGUGGGUGAUGAAGGCCUUCGGGUCUUAAAACCCUGUCGAGCGGGAAGAACUCCGUGCAAACGGAUGACGGUACCGCUGGAGGAAGCCCCGGCUAAUCCCGUGCCAGCAGCCGCGGUAAGACGGGAGGGGCAAGCGUUACCCGGAUUCACUGGGUGUAAAGGGUCUGUAGGCGGCCUGACAUGUCUGUUCUGAAAUACUCUGGCUCAACCAGAGAACCUGGGCAGAAACUGUCGGGCUCGAGUCGGGAGGAGGAAAACGGAACUGCCGGUGUAGCGGUGAAAUGCGUAGAUAUCGGCAGGAACACCAGUGGCGAAGGCGGUUUUCUAUUCCACGACUGACGCUGAGGGACGAAAGCGUGGGGAGCGAUCGGGAUUAGAUACCCCGGUAGUCCACGCCGUAAACGAUGGGUGUUGGGUGUCGGCUCAGAAAUGAGUCGGUGCCGAAGCCAACGCGUUAAACACCCCACCUGGGGACUACGGCCGCAAGGCUGAAACCCAAAGGAAUUGACGGGGGCCCGCACAACCGGUGGAGUAUGUGGUUUAAUUCGAUGAUACGCGAAGAACCUUACCUGGGCUUGACAUGCUGGUAGUAGAAGCCCGAAAGGGUGACGAUCCACCUUCGGGUGGAAGCCAGCACAGGUGCUGCAUGGCUGUCGUCAGCUCGUGCCGUGAGGUGUUGGGUUAAGUCCCGGAACGAGCGCAACCCUUGUCCGUAGUUACUCGCUCUCAAGAGCAGCACUCUACGGAGACUGCCGUGGUUAACACGGAGGAAGGUGGGGAUGACGUCAAGUCAGCACGGCCCUUAUGCCCAGGGCUACACACGUACUACAAUGGCCGGUACAAAGGGAUGCCAAACCGCGAGGUGGAGCUAAUCCCAAAAAGCCGGCCUCAGUUCGGAUUGCAGGCUGCAACCUGCCUGCAUGAAGCUGGAAUCGGUAGUAAUCGCGGAUCAGCCAGGCCGCGGUGAAUACGUUCUCGGGCCUUGUACACACCGCCCGUCACGCCAACUGAGUCAAGGAUACCUGAAGCCGCUUUUUUCAACCCGUUUCGGCGGGAGAAGAGCGUCCAAGGUAUGCUUGGCAAGGAGGGCGAAGUCGUAACAAGGCAGCCGUACCGGAAGGUGCGGCUGGAUCACCUCCUUUCUA